GAACCGUAGGUGAACCUGCGGUUGGAUCAUUAUUGAAUAGCUUCCAAGAAAAAUUCAAUUUUUCUUUGCUUGCAAAUAAAUUUUUACCCACCCAUUACUGUGAACUUGUAAAACCUUUUAUAUAAACGUUUUUUUUACUGUUUUUGGAAGGAGUCAAGGUAAAACUAACUUCUGCCAAAUUACGUAUUUUUAAAAAUAAAACAACUUUUGGCAACGGAUCUCUUAGCUCUCACAUCGAUGAAGAACGCAGC
rnacentral:misc_RNA from 1 species